ACGGUUGUGGUGUAGUGGUAUCGUUUCGGACUUUCAAGUCUUAAGUGAAAGGUUCGAUUCCUUAUGGCGGUA